rnacentral:rRNA from 1 species
AUUGAACGCUGGCGGCAGGCCUAACGCAUGCAAGUCGAGCGGAUGAAGAGAGCUUGCUCUCUGAUUUAGCGGCGGACGGGUGAGUAAUGCCUAGGAAUCUGCCUGGUAGUGGGGGAUAACGUUCCGAAAGGAACGCUAAUACCGCAUACGUCCUACGGGAGAAAGCAGGGGACCUUCGGGCCUUGCGCUAUCAGAUGAGCCUAGGUCGGAUGAGCUAGUUGGUGAGGUAAUGGCUCACCAAGGCGACGAUCCGUAACUGGUCUGAGAGGAUGAUCAGUCACACUGGAACUGAGACACGGUCCAGACUCCUACGGGAGGCAGCAGUGGGGAAUAUUGGACAAUGGGCGAAAGCCUGAUCCAGCCAUGCCGCGUGUGUGAAGAAGGUCUUCGGAUUGUAAAGCACUUUAAGUUGGGAGGAAGGGCAGUAAGCUAAUACCUUGCUGUUUUGACGUUACCGACAGAAUAAGCACCGGCUAACUCUGUGCCAGCCGCCGCCGUAAGAC